UAUAGACUGUGACUCCCUUGACGGAGUGGGAGACAAGAGAGUUUCAGUGUAACCCCGUCAGGAGUAAACAAUGUAAGGUACCGAUUACGUAUCCCAUUCUCGUGUGGAGGUUUUUCCCUACAGAUCCCGGAGUUAGUUCCCCCAGGACCGUAACCCCCAUGGUAAGCUGCAGGGUCAACACAAGUUAACACUGGUGGAGAUUGCAGCGGUUAGAGGAGGAACGGAAGCACGAGAAGGACCUUGAAUGUUUGGUUUUGGAGUGAGGACUCGAAAAACGUUACAACGAAAUUUUGACGCUGUUUCAACGAUUAUCAGUCCAAGCAUGACUACUUCGACCGAAGCUGCGGACAGAGCGGAACUAUUGAUCGGUGAACUGGAAGAACUUCGAGUAGCUUCUGAAUUGCAACGUGUUUCAUUUGACAAAUACCGGGAAUCUGCCGAAGCACAGUCUCGAGAUGAAGCGGAUUCACUCGAAGGCAUAAAAAACAAUCUCACUAAAAUCGAGCUAGGAAGUGGUUAUAAUUAACAAAUUAAGAGACUUCUGGAAGACGUCGAAGUUCGCAGCUGAAGACUUUCGAGCGAUCUCACGCACACCAAGGGGAUUAAGGAUAACCUUUUCAAACUUAAAUGACUAUGGUCUCUGAAACCAGACCAUUUCAAUGGCACAGGCGAUGCAACUGCCUGCAUAGAGAAUUUCGAGCAAUUCACGGCGCUGCUCAAUUGGACUGACAAGGAACGGAUAACUGGUUUUCCUCUGUUCUUGCGGGCAGUGGCUCUCUCUUGGUACCAGGGCUUUCCAACGGAAAUGAAGGGCAUUUGGGCGCAUCUUACAGAUGUGUUUGCAAUACGUUACGAAAGGAAAAGGCCACAAAUUGGUCAAGGCGCGAGAACUACAGAAUAGGAAACUCCUUCCGAGUUAGAUAGCUAGAAAAAUUACCCCGUGGGGAUCGGUCAAAUUGCACAUCUCUUUAUUCGAUAAAAACAUCACCCAACGGGUCGAAAUUCUAAAAGAAACCAUGCAAACCCCUCCGAAAAGCAGACCUAGACCCUUCAGAACAGGAUUGGACUUCAGCAAGCUGCCUCUAGUCCUUCUGGCGAGGUGUCUCUGCAGAAUAUACUUUUCGAGAGGGAAACGUGUAUCAUCAUUGCGCCAAACUGGCCCACGCAGCCCUGGUAUCCUGUCCUAAAGAGCUGGUGCACUCGGAGCCCAAAGGUCAUCAACAGGGGAGUAGACAUUCUAGUCUUGCCGUCGCAUCCACGGAAAAAAACACCCUCUACAUCAGAAGCCGGACCUACUGGCUUGUCUGCUAUCAGGAAGGAAGACGUGAACAUUUUUUGUCAGAGUCAUGGACUCUUCUUAUCUAAGCCGUCACCUCGUGAUCUGCUGCAUUUUCGCACUGGAUUGUUCCAAGCAGGUGCCGGACAUAGCACCCUAAAUACCGCUAGGUCGGCCUUGUCAUCAGUUAUAACGCAGGCCAUGUGGUGAACAUAAGCUAUGUCGGUUUGUGAGGGGAGUCUUCAACCUCAGGGUCCACCUCGGUAUGUCGCCACUGUGGAUGUUGAUACCCCAUUCUCGUAUCCUAGGUCAACAGGUCAGGUACUGCAUGGAGUUGAUUUUGAGGACAGUGUGCCUGGCAGCUAUCCGAUCGGGGCAAAGAGUAGCGACCUUGCACCAUAUUAAUAGAAUACUUGUGAUGAUUGUUAGAUUUUAUAUCUUCAGUUACGUGAUCUGUGGGAAUGCUGAUGGCGAAUAAAUAGUUAUAAAGGACACAACUGACUUUGUCAACUUACUGGGCUAACGCCGCCACAGCCUGUGAGCAUUAAGACUGCGUUUAUUGGCAAAUGUAGCCUAUAUAUUUGUGUAGAUUGUUCAUUUCAUAAUAUAGAAUUUUGAUCAUGCAUGAUUAGUUGUGCAAUUAUAUUCGUUAUGGAGAAUAUUUGGCUUUGUUGUGAUAUCUUCGGCCUAAGGGUGCUGAAGUCUCAUGUGACUCAGUGAAGUGAUUGAUAGGAGAUAGAAUUGAAAAAUGACACGAGACUUACCUGUGUAAGUUGAAGUGUGAUUGUGAUUCUAUCAAACUAUCAAUCACGAAUUGAAUGUAUAAGGCAGGAGGGCGGGAGUUUAGCGGCAAAGAUUGAAACCAAUCAACUGCAUCCACUGUUUUGUAGGAACGAGGUUGAAACAGUUAUAAAAACUGAAAUCUAAUGCGACCCGCAUAUUUUGAACAAUUUUAGCAGUUUACAAUAUUGAAGGUGCCUAAUGGACUAUCUGGGGUAUAUAAGGCUUCAUUGGUUAUAAUCUAAUGGUAUAUUCAUAUCUUAUCAAUUUUGACCGACUAAAACGUUUUUUAUAACAUGUUUAAUUUCGCGUUCGUGGUAAAAACUCAAACAAGUCUGAAAAACUGCAAAAUUUCUCGACUUUUGUUGUCAAGCGUUUAAGUUUAGAAAUCAGAUUUUACUUCUAUUAAACGUUUUCUUAUUUAAUGUAACUGUUAUUUAGUGGGAUAUUUAACAGUGUUGUGAGUUUGAAGCCCUUAUCAUUGGUGUUUAGGAUUAGAAAAUGGUUUCCCCAUUGAUUAGCUUGUUUCGGCUUACUACAUUUAAGAGCAGAGUGUUGUGAAGUAUAUAUACCUUACCUACCUGAAAAUGUUCAUUGAAUUUAAGUCAUCUCAUAAGCUACGAUUGUACAAGUGCCCGACACAAGUUUGAAUGAAUGAAUGAAUGAAUGAAUGAAUGAAUGAAUGAAUGAAUGCAUGAAUGAAAUUUUCACUUGUAUACCGUAAAAUCCAAAAAUUUGCUCUUACUCGGUAUUUUUUGCAACAAAAUUGCAAACCGAUCAUUGAGUGAAGGCUGCUUUACUGCGGCUUGAAUAUUGUUUUG